rnacentral:rRNA from 1 species
AGCGAACGCUGGCGGCAGGCUUAACACAUGCAAGUCGAGCGGAUGUAGCAAUACAUCAGCGGCAGACGGGUGAGUAACACGUGGGAACGUACCUUUUGGUUCGGGACAACCCAGGGAAACUUGGGCUAAUACCGGAUAAGCCCUUACGGGGAAAGAUUUAUCGCCGAAAGAUCGGCCCGCGUCUGAUUAGCUAGUUGGUGAGGUAAUGGCUCACCAAGGCGACGAUCAGUAGCUGGUCUGAGAGGAUGAUCAGCCACAUUGGGACUGAGACACGGCCCAAACUCCUACGGGAGGCAGCAGUGGGGAAUAUUGGACAAUGGCGCAAGCCUGAUCCAGCCAUGCCGCGUGAGUGAUGAAGGCCCUAGGGUUGUAAAGCUCUUUUGUGCGGGAAGAUAAUGACUGUACCGGGAGAAUAAGCCCCGGCUAACUCCGUGCCAGCAGCCGCGGUAAU